UGAAAGGCUUCGGCCGCCGAAGGAGGAGCCCGCGGUCGAUUAGCUUGUUGGUGAGGUAAUGGCUCACCAAGGCUUCGAUCGAUAGCCGGCCUGAGAGGGCACACGGCCACACUGGCACUGAGACACGGGCCAGACUCUACGGGAGGCAGCAGUGAGGAAUCUUGCACAAUGGGGGAAACCCUGAUGCAGCGACGCCGCGUGAGUGAUGACGCCUUUCGGGGUGUAAAGCUCUUUCAGUGGAACGAUAAUGACGUACCCACAGAAGAAGUGCGCUAACUA
rnacentral:rRNA from 1 species